rnacentral:rRNA from 1 species
GGGCCCCCCACAAGGGGGGCCUUUGGUAAAAUUAAGGCCCAAAAGCCUUCCCAGGUUUUCCACCCUUUGCCCCUUAAAAAAAGUUUCCCUUGGGGGCCACCGUUAAAAGUGGAAUGGUUGUGGCAACUUCGUUCCGUAAAAUUUGGUUAAGCCCGAAAAAGGCAACCCUUGGUUUAGGUGCAUAAUAAAUGGCCCUUUUAGGUGAUCCCGGGUGACAACCGAGAAGGUGGGGAUCGUCAAAUCAUCAUGCCCCUUAUGACCUGGCUACACACGGUGCUACAAUGGCGAUACAAACGGUUGCCAACUCGCGAGAGGGAGCUAAUCCGAUAAAGUCGUUCUCAGUUCGGAUUGUAGGCUGCAACUCGCCUACAUGAAGCCGGAAUCGCUAGUAAUCGCGGAUCAGCAUGCCGCGGUGAAUACAGUUCCCGAAGCCUUGUACACUCCGCCCGUCACACCACGAGAGUUUGUAACACCCGAAGUCGGUGAGGUAACCUUUUGGAGCCAGCACCUGCAAACU